GGGCCCGCACAAGCGGUGGAGCAUGUGGUUUAAUUCGAUGAUACGCGAGGAACCUUACCAGGGCUUAAAUGUAGUCUGACAGGCGUGGAAACAUGCUUUUCUUCGGACAGAUUACAAGGUGCUGCAUGGUUGUCGUCAGCUCGUGCCGUGAGGUGUCAGGUUAAGUCCUAUAACGAGCGCAACCCCUGUUGUUAGUUGCCAGCGAGUCAUGUCGGGAACUCUAACAAGACUGCCAGUGCAAACUGUGAGGAAGGUGGGGAUGACGUCAAAUCAUCACGGCCCUUACGUCCUGGGCCACACACGUGCUACAAUGGUAGGUACAGAGAGCAGCCACUGCGCGAGCAGGAGCGAAUCUAUAAAGCCGGUCUCAGUUCGGAUCGCAGUCUGCAACUCGACUGCGUG
rnacentral:rRNA from 1 species